AACGUAGGAGACAAACGUUAUCCGGAGUUACUGGGCGUAAAGGGCGUGUAGGUGGUUGCGUAAGUCUGGCGUGAAAUUUUUCGGCUUAACCGGGAAAGGUCGUCGGAUACUGCGUAACUAGAGUUCGGAAGAGGCGAGUGGAAUUCCCGGUGUAGCGGUGAAAUGCGCAGAUAUCGGGAGGAACACCUAUGGCGAAGGCAGCUCGCUGGGACGUUACUGACGCUGAGACGCGAAAGCGUGGGGAGCAAACAGG
rnacentral:rRNA from 1 species